AAUAUUGCACAAUGGGCGCAAGCCUGAUGCAGCCAUGCCGCGUGUAUGAAGAAGGCCUUCGGGUUGUAAAGUACUUUCAGCAGUGAGGAAGUGGAUAUGUUAAUAGCAUAUUCAUUUGACGUUUAGCUGCAGAAGAAGCACCGGCUAACUCCGUGCCAGCAGCCGCGGUAAUACGGAGGGUGCGAGCGUUAAUCGGAAUUACUGGGCGUAAAGCGCAUGCAGGUGGUUUGUUAAGUCAGAUGUGAAAGCCCGGGGCUCAACCUCGGAAUUGCAUUUGAAACUGGCAAACUAGAGUACUGUAGAGGGGGUAGAAUUUCAGGUGUAGCGGUGAAAUGCGUAGAGAUCUGAAGGAAUACCGGUGGCGAAGGCGGCCCCCUGGACAGAUACUGACACUCAGAUGCGAAAGCGUGGGGAGCAAACAGGAUUAGAUACCCUGGUAG
rnacentral:rRNA from 1 species